UACGGGGGGGGCAAGCGUUGUUCGGAAUUACUGGGCGUAAAGGGUGCGUAGGCGGCUUUCUAAGUCGGAUGUGAAAACUCUGGGCUCAACCCAGAGCCUGCAUCCGAAACUGGAGAGCUAGAGUUCUGGAGGGGAAAGCGGAAUUCCUGGUGUAGCGGUGAAAUGCGUAGAUAUCAGGAGGAACACCGGUGGCGAAGGCGGCUUUCUGGACAGAUACCGACGCUGAGGCACGAAAGCUAGGGGAGCAAACAGG
rnacentral:rRNA from 1 species